ensembl:lncRNA
CGCUCCUGGAAUGGCAGGUAGCCUAGUGGUUAGAGUGUUGGGCCAGGAACCGAAAGGUUGGUGGAUGGAAUCCCUGAGCUGACAAGGACCUGAGCCCUGGGACCAUGCCUCAGGACUACCUGGCAUGAUGACUCCUUGCUGUCCCCAGUCCACCUGGCCGUGCUGCUGCUCCAGUUUCAACUGUUCUGCCUGCGGCUAUGGAAGCCUGACCUGUUCACCGGACGUGCACCUGUCCCAGACCUGCUGUUUUCAACUCUCUAGAGACAGCAAGAGAGGUAGAGAUAACUCUCAAUGAUUGGCUAUGAAAAGCCAACUGACAUUUACUCCCGAGGUGCUGACUUGUUGCACCCUCGACAACUACUGUGAUUAUUAUUAUUUGACCAUGCUGAUAACUUAUGAACAUUUGAACAUCUUGGCCAUGUUCUGUUAUAAUCUCCAC